rnacentral:rRNA from 1 species
UGGGGAAUUUUGGACAAUGGGCGCAAGCCUGAUCCAGCAAUGCCGCGUGCAGGAUGAAGGCCUUCGGGUUGUAAACUGCUUUUGUACGGAACGAAACGGCGAGCUCUAAUACAGUUUGCUAAUGACGGUACCGUAAGAAUAAGCACCGGCUAACUACGUGCCAGCAGCCGCGGUAAUACGUAGGGUGCAAGCGUUAAUCGGAAUUACUGGGCGUAAAGCGUGCGCAGGCGGUUAUGUAAGACAGAUGUGAAAUCCCCGGGCUUAACCUGGGAACUGCAUUUGUGACUGCAUAGCUAGAGUACGGUAGAGGGGGAUGGAAUUCCGCGUGUAGCAGUGAAAUGCGUAGAUAUGCGGAGGAACACCGAUGGCGAAGGCAAUCCCCUGGACCUGUACUGACGCUCAUGCACGAAAGCGUGGGGAGCAAACAGGAUUAGAUACCCUGGUAGUCCACGCCCUAAACGAUGUCAACUGGUUGUUGGGUCUUCACUGACUCAGUAACGAAGCUAACGCGUGAAGUUGACCGCCUGGGGGGUACGGCCGCAAGGUUG